UACAGAGGGGGCAAGCGUUGUUCGGAAUUACUGGGCGUAAAGGGCGCGUAGGCGGCAUGUUAAGUCAGCUGUGAAAUCUCCGAGCUUAACUCGGAACUGUCAGCUGAUACUGAUGUGCUAGAGUGCAGAAGGGGCAAUCGGAAUUCUUGGUGUAGCGGUGAAAUGCGUAGAUAUCAAGAGGAACACCUGAGGUGAAGACGGGUUGCUGGGCUGACACUGACGCUGAGGCGCGAAAGCCAGGGGAGCAAACGGG
rnacentral:rRNA from 1 species